rnacentral:rRNA from 1 species
AGUGGGGGAUAACGUAGCGAAAGUUACGCUAAUACCGCAUAUGCCCUGAGGGGGAAAGGAGGGGAUCGCAAGACCUUUCGCUUUCGGAGUGGCCGAUAUCAGAUUAGCUAGUUGGUGGGGUAAAGGCUCACCAAGGCGACGAUCUGUAGCUGGUCUGAGAGGACGACCAGCCACACUGGGACUGAGACACGGUCCAGACUCCUACGGGAGGCAGCAGUGGGGAAUUUUGGACAAUGGGCGCAAGCCUGAUCCAGCCAUGCCGCGUGAGUGAAGAAGGCCUUCGGGUUGUAAAGCUCUUUCAGCCGGAAAGAAAUCGYACWGGYUAAUACUCUGUGUGGAUGACGGUACCGGAAGAAGAAGCACCGGCUAACUACGUGCCAGCAGCCGCGGUAAUACGUAGGGUGCGAGCGUUAAUCGGAAUUACUGGGCGUAAAGCGUGCGCAGGCGGUUUUUUAAGACAGAUGUGAAAUCCCCGGGCUUAACCUGGGAACUGCAUUUGUGACUGGAAGACUAGAGUGCRGCAGAGGGGGGUAGAAUUCCA